GGUUCGGUGGCGUAGUUGGUUAUCGCAUCUGUCUUACAUGUCAAUAGGAUGCUGCUGAUGUAUCACAGAAGGCCCCCAGUUCGAGCCUGGGUCGAAUCA